rnacentral:lncRNA from 1 species
ACAUAUGUAGCAGAGAAGCAAGGUUAAUAGAAAUACAAGGUUACACCAUAACGGUACCCGGAUUUUAUGGAGACAGUGGACUCUAUGGAGACAACCCAUCAAAUCAUUUUUAUACUGAUCCUAAAACUAUUGUUCAAUUCAAAUCAAAUAUUUUGACGGAUUCAUUUGUGUAAAUCGGAGCAGUCGUCAUGUGUUAGGUGGAUUACGGAUAGAAGAGAAGCCCACUUAAUUCGCUCUGUCACUUCACCAAUCCCUAGAUCGAGAUCAACUCGUCAAGAGUUCCUUAGAUGGAUGGAUGAAUGAUCAUGUUUACUGCCUACCUAUGCGAGUAGCACGCAUUGCCAACAGAUGAGUUGUGAACAUGUUAGAUUCGACUCCAUCCGAAGAUGCCUUGCUAUGGAUUGCUGUCAAGCAGAGUUUCUUUUAAUGAACACCAACUAGUGUGGAUAUAAUACGAUGUAAAUCAUUUUGAUCAUACCUUUUAUAGGCCCUCGUGUCAAACUACAUCGUGAACAUAACAAUCAUAGCAAUAAGAAAUGUGGAACUGUAUCAUAAGGACCUCCUCACUGCCUCAGGUGUCCACAAAGUUUCCAUAAAUUUCCCCCUCGAGGUGACUUCUGACUAUGAUAUUGCUAAAUAGUUGAUUGGGUUGGAGUGUAAAAAACAAGAUCAUUUUGCUCAUUAUAUUGCUCAUGUUGGAUUUAAAUAUUUAAAUAUAUGUAGCAAAAGUAUCAUAAAUGAGGUUAAUAGUAGCAUACACUCGGAUAAAAAAAGGUCGAAUUCUCAUGGUGCAAGUUCAAGAAAAAUUACUAAGUUAUCUUUUAAAUCUUGAAUUUUCAUUUUGUUUCGUUUAAUAAAGGAU